rnacentral:misc_RNA from 1 species
GUUCGCACUUACUUAGUGUGAGAACCGCGUGACCAUUCUGACCGCAUUGAUUGGCUUGUUUUGUUGUUUUCACAUUUAUAUUGUACUUUAAACCACAUACCGUAAUACUUUAACACCUUUCCCAUGCAUGUUCUGUCAAAUUUAUUUCUGUUUUACAAUAUUAUGGCAUGGCUAACGUACGUUGUUAUUUUAGUUCUUGUUGCAUUUGUAUUUCUGUAUUUUGUAGGUCUAUUGGCAUUGUAUGAACCUCCGUUUUUAUUUUUGUUUGUGUAUUUGAUAUAUUCUUUCUAUGUAUUCAAUAUUUUUUCACCUGCAAUGUAUGUUAACCAAAUAUUCGGAAUGAUGUUUUCAUUUGCAUAUUACAAGAAAUAAGCAAAUGAAACAAAUGAGAAAUGCACACACUACCAAUACAAACAAUACAAAUGUGAAAUAGUGAAUACAAAAUGAAAAAUUAUCAA